rnacentral:rRNA from 1 species
ACGAACCGAGCGAACGUUGUUCGGGAUCACUGGGCUUAAAGGGCGCGUAGGCGGGUUCUCAAGUCCGGGGUGAAAUCCCACAGCUCAACUGUGGAACUGCCUCGGAUACUGGGUGCCUCGAGGGUGGUAGGGGUAUGCGGAACUAUCGGUGGAGCGGUGAAAUGCGUUGAUAUCGAUAGGAACUCCGGUGGCGAAGGCGGCAUACUGGACCACAUCUGACGCUGAGGCGCGAAAGCCAGGGGAGCGAACGGGA